rnacentral:rRNA from 1 species
UACAGAGGUCUCAAGCGUUGUUCGGAUUCAUUGGGCGUAAAGGGUGCGUAGGCGGCGCGGUAAGUCGGGUGUGAAAUCUUGGAGCUUAACUCCGAAACUGCAUUCGAUACUGCCGGUGCUUGAGGACUGGAGAGGAGACUGGAAUUUAUGGUGUAGCGUGAAAUGCGUAGAGAUCAUGAGGAAGACCAGUGGCGAAGGCGGGUCUCUGGACAGUUCCUGACGCUGAGGCACGAAGGCAGGGGAGCAAACGGG